GCAAGAGGGGCCGUAACCUCUAGAAGCAGGCAAAGAAAUGGUUGCAGGGAGGCGGCCUUGUGAGGAAAGGGCGAGGCCUGGGAGGCUUUAUAUCUGGGGAGGAGGCAGGUCCACAGUCAAUUCACCUGUGAUUUCAUCUUCCUGCUCCAGCCAGAGACACUCUCUCCCCUGCCUCCUGUCCUGGACUAAAGACAAGGAGUGAGGAUGAAGGGCCAACCCAGACACCAGCUUCCCAGAGAAAAGGCAGAGCUGGGAAGAGCAAUGAGCCAUGAGGAAGAAUGAGCCACUAAUGAAAACGCUCAUAGCAAUCCUAAGUCCACGUCAACACCGGCUGCAGAAAGCAACAGAAAUGGACGGCACAAAAAUAAGACUUACUCUGUCUUAGAAUUAUCAGAAGAAUUUGAAAACCUAAUAUAUUUGCACAGCCCUUAGAAGACUGCCGGUUGCAUCACAAAAGAUAGGAUUCUCCUGGCACUUCCAGAAGAAGGAAGAAAGGAGCAACUAUACAGAGAUUUCUGACAUACCUCAAUACAGAAUAAGCAUUACAGGUUCCAGUUAAGUUCAAUAACUAGCCCCACGCACGACAAGGGCCACUCGUCUUCAGCAAUUUUCAUUCACGAUUAUUCUUUUUCGUUAUGUUCUUCCCUCCAAUUCCCUGUGUAUCAUGAUCCUUUUAAAAUAAAAAACCUUUAACAGUCCCAAUUCAUCAGGUUUAAACUUCAGUUUAUAGCAGGUGAGCUGUUGAUUACUCAGUUUAAUUAAAAUGUAAACCUUUGCAGCUAAAGUGAAUAAGUCAAAACUAUAAAACCAUCGCAGAAAACUUGAAAAUCCUGCCUGAGCAUGGUAUUCACCCUCCUCCUCCAUUCGCACUUGGAGAAGUGUUCUCACUGCCACUUUUCCCUGCCAUCCUCUGCCACAGUCGAAUCCGAACUAACACCCAGACUGAUGAUACAUUUGCUCCUGGAAAAUCAUUAUCAAAGUGCAGGGCCUGCGCUUUCUCAACAGGACAAGCUGGCUGGGGUCACCGUGCUAACUAAGAGUGUGAAGUGACAGCCCCAAGAAAGAAAAAUUCAAAUAGGAGGCCAUCUCUUCACUUCUGAUGACCAUUUUUCCAUAACCACCCAUGUUGGGCACCAUCUUGAGGAGGCAUUUCUGAUGAAAGAAAGACGUUGGAUCCACUGGAGUCUAACGUCUAGGAAAGAGACAAUAGGUCAUAAGUGGACUAACCAAAAAUAAGAAAGAAAGGUAAGUUCAUUUUCUUCCUUUUCGUUGUUUCAUCUGUUCCAAGGCCUCAUUCGGCUCAUCGAGACAGUAAUUUGCAUUUAAAAGUACAAAGCAGCUUUCAGAAAGUCUGUGCAUUUUAUGCCUCAGAGGAAGCAAAGAUACCUUUAGGCAGCCAGUCAGGAAUAAUGAAGAAACACCACCAUCAAUAACAACAAUAAAAACAAGAAAAAUGUCUAUCUUGUUUGGUGCAGGAAAGUGCCAGGCAUUUAGUAGAUAAUUAUUAAAUAUUUAAUAGAUGAAUGAAAAAAGAAAGGUCACUUAAAAUUUAUUUUGUAUGCCCUCUCUUUUUGUCCAUACACAUCCUAAAUAACUUUGUUGUUACUGUUCCAUAUAAAAUAUUUGUUUUAAUUAUUUAAUUAUUAAAUAAUUAUUAACUAUCUA
rnacentral:lncRNA from 10 species